CUAGUGGCGCACGGGUGCGUAACGCGUGGGAAUCUGCCCUUUGGUUCGGAAUAACAGUUGGAAACGACUGCUAAUACCGGAUGAUGACGAAAGUCCAAAGAUUUAUCGCCAGAGGAUGAGCCCGCGUAGGACUAGCUAGUUGGUGUGGUAAAGGCGCACCAAGGCGACGAUCCUUAGCUGGUCUGAGAGGAUGAUCAGCCACACUGGGACUGAGACACGGCCCAGACUCCUACGGGAGGCAGCAGUGGGGAAUAU
rnacentral:rRNA from 1 species